GACGAACGCUGGCGGCGUGCCUAACACAUGCAAGUCGAACGAGUUACUUCGGAAAAGGGCGGCGGACGGGUGAGUGACGCGUGGGUAAUGUGCCUCAUACACAUGAAUAACAUACCGAAAGUUAUACUAAUACACGAUGCUAUAAGAGAUUCGCGUGGCUUUCUUAUCAAAGCUCGGGCGGUAUGAGAUGGACCCGCGUCUGAGUCGAUAGUGGGUAGGGUAACGGCUUACGAAGGCGAAGAUCAGUAGCCGACCUGUGAGGGUGAUCGGCCAUAGUGGAAAUGCAACACGCACCAAACUCCUACGGGAGGCAGCAGUGGAGAAUAUAGCACAAUGGGCGAAAGGCUGAUGCAGCACCGCCGCGUGGGCGAUGAAGGCCUUCGGGUCGUAAACCUCUGUCCUCAAGGAAGAUAAUGACGGUACUUGAGGAGGAAGCCCCGGCUAACUACGUGCCAGCCGCCGCGGUAACAC
rnacentral:rRNA from 1 species